rnacentral:tRNA from 1 species
GCCUGGCUGGCUCAGUUGGAAGAGCAUGAGACUCUUGAUCUUGGGGUCGUGAGUUCUAGCCCCAUGUUGGAUG